AUAAUUUGCUUAUUUAAUUGAUUUACUGCUUGUUUCUUUCCCAGCAGCUAUAAGAUCCAUGAGAACAAGAAUUUCUAUUUAUUCUGUUGGCUGCUAUAUUUUAUUGCCUAGAAUCAUAUCUGGCAUAAUAGGUACUCAAUAAGUAUUUGUUCAAUGACAGGAUAAGGAUAUUUAUCUCAGCAUUAUUUAAAAUAGCAAAACAUUGGAAAUGACCUACAUGUCCAAUAAAGGAAUGGCUAAAUGAACAAUGAUACUUUUCAACAAAAUAUUAUAUGCCUGUUAAAUUAACUAUAUGUGCUGCAUCAUCUGUGCAAUUAUUUACAAUCAAAUAAUUUUAAAAGUUGAAUACAAUCAUAGGUUUCUUUUAAAGGCAACUACAUCAAAUUGCUUGUGAAUAUGGAAUAAGAAAAAAUAAAAAUGCUUUGUUAGGGUGAUGGAAUUAUAGUACAUUUUGGAGUUUUAAAUAAUAAUGUUUGAUAUCUGUGUCACUAUACAUAUUUUUAAAGUAAAAUUGAGCUAUAUUAGAAUACUAAAAACAGAACUGGGUUAUAUUUUGAGAGAGCUACAUUCAUUGUCACGUGGUGAAGUUUUAAAAAUCAACUUUAUUCUGAUUAUUAAAACUAGCAGCUUCAUUCUUGAAGAGCAGAAAAUGUCAUUGAUGUAUUCAAGUUAUAUAAAUGAAGCAGAACUUUUCUGUCAUGCAUGCUGAGUUAAACUAUUACAUAGUUUAAAUUUACUCAGAAAAUUCUGAACAUAGUUUCCCUAUGGUUCAAAGUAGGAAAGUGUUAUUAUGUUGACUAAUACAUGCCCUGAAUUCAAAUGGGCUUAGGGAAAUUUGGGACUUUAAAGAAAUAUUGACAUACAGGCCAGGUGCAGUGGCUCACACUUGUAAUCCCAGCACUUUGGGAGGCCAAGGCAGGUGGAUCACUUGAGAUCAGGAGUUCAAGACCAGCCUGGACAACAUGGUGAAACCCUGUCUCUACUAAAAAUACAAAAAUUAGCCAGGUGUGGUGGCAAGCACCUGUAAUCCCAGCUACUCUGGAGGCUGAGGCAGGAGAAUCUCUUGAACCUGGGAGACAGAGGUUGCAGUGAGCCAAGAUUGUGCCACUGCACUCCAGCCUAGGCAACAGAGUGAGAUUCUGUCAAAAAGGAAAGAAAGAGAGAUAGAAAAGAAGGAAGCAAGGAAGGAAGGAAGGAAGGAAAGAAGGAAGGAAGGAAGGAAGGAAGGAAGAGUCUUGACAUACAACCAUAUGUAAUAAAGCCUGAAUAUCAACAGGGAAACCCAAGGCUUUAGGAGAAACAUUGCUUAUGAUAAAAAAUAUUCCUGCUGAAGGAGAAAGGCUGAUACAGUUCCAGAAAAAAAUGUAUAUCUAAACUUUAGGUGAAGUUUUUUUCUGGCUUUGCAGUAAUUACCCCAAUAUCCUCAAUCUUCUCUAAAAGUCUAAGCUGUCCAGUAUUUAUAUUGAUUGUGCUCUAUAGAACCUGGGUUCAUCCUUGGAGCAAUAUAUGAAAGAAAACAGAAAACAGCCACAGGAGCCUGGAGGGACAGAGGAGCUGGUCGCUUUGUGGACCACUGUACACCUGAGAAAGGUGACUCUUGAAAGGAAAAGAGAUAGGUUGCUUGACGUACCCUUUGAAGUUCACGGGCACUGCAAAGAAUGCAUUUUUGUAGCUGAUCCAGCUCAAAUGCCCAGAUUCAUCCACAUCUGCAGCUUAUGUCACAGGGCUGGCAGCUAACAGAAACCAUCAGAUCUGCCUUUGUUUUCUUAUCAAAUCAUAUGUGAUAAUGUCACAACCAGUAAGUUGUGUUUUCAGGUAUGUGUUUGUACUGACUUGACAGUGAACCUAAAAAGUGAAAUAAAUAUGAAGAACGAGAAAUUCUAAAUUCUCACCCUUCAGGGGUGUUGGUAUUAUCAAUUUGCCUGUGUUGUCUUUAAACACACACACACACAUACACACACACACACACACACACACACACACAUCUUCUUUAGCUCUGGUGUAUAGAAAAGCAGGACAAAUCCUACAUUGACAAAUUAAUGACAGUAGUAAGCUAAGUCAUUUUAUUUUAUUUUAUUUUAUUUUUCUUUAUUUAUUAUUAUUAUACUUUAAGUUUUAGGGUACAUGUGCACAAUGUGCAGGUUAGUUACAUAUGUAUACAUGUGCCAUGCUGGUGCGCUGCACCCACUAACUCGUCAUCUAGCAUUAGGUACAUCUCCCAGUGCUAUCCCUCCGCCCUCCCCCCACCGCAC
rnacentral:lncRNA from 1 species